GCUCCCGUGGCCCAACUGGCAGAGGCAGGCGGCUUAAACCCGCUGACGGUACGGGUUCGAAUCCCGUCGGGAGCACCG
rnacentral:tRNA from 1 species